CACAGAGGGAAAUAAGCAGAGGUCCAGAAACAGGGCUACCCACCAAUCGCGUGGUGACAGAGGAGAGAGGGUCCUAAGGACAGAUGAGGAUGUUCUUGAUUUUGUACUCCAAGUAAAUGUAUUUAAGAAUGGUUACCCCAACCUCUGAGAAAUCUGAAAGUGGCAGCUGGAAAUGCCAGGAGAACACAUGGCAACACUGAAUUGACAGAGUUCAAACACCAAAGGGGCAUUUGAGAACUGGAGCUGCCCGAUGGCAAGAGGGCACUUGUAUCAGAAGCUUCACUGCACAGGCCUACAAUAAAUGGUGCCUUGACAUCAAAUGAGUUGGUUGGCUAGUUCCUUCCCCAUGAAAUUGUUAUUUUAAACCCCAAACUACCUGGCAUAAUUUCCAGUCUGCUGACUGAAAAUCAGAAUGGAGCAUAACUAUUUUCCUUGCAGAAAAAGGCUGCCCAGGGAUGUACUGGAGAUGAUCAGGAGAGACAUGCUUUUCUCCUUCAAACCUUUUGCCUGCUUUGUAUUUCCAGUUUUCACAGCCCACCUUUUUCAGAGACCACACACAGAGACUACACUGAUUGGAAUCAAGUUUAAAGGCAUGGCUUACAUUCAGACAGGAUAUGAGCAAAGUUACCUAGCAGCACCAGCGGGAACUGAGCCAAUGAAAACCCCCUGCCCUGCUGCAUUCUAAUUUCACAGGUGCCCCCGCCUUCCGGGCACAACAGGAAAUGAGUCAAGGCAAUGAUGAUAAUGAGAGGAAGAAAAAAAGUGCUUCCUCUGUACAAAAUGCUUACACACAGGUAAUAAAGAUAACAAAAAUAAUGGAAGUACACAAGGGAUAAGAGAGAAUGAGAGAGCAGACAAGGUGAUUAAAUUCUGAAACAUGGACAGCUGAACGCAGGGAGUAACAGACAGAGCAGAGAGAAGAAACCCAAAACUCAAGGCUGGUAGUGGAGUGUCAACAAGAAAUUAUGUGUUUUGCACCAAAGAACUCCAGCAUGUCCUAGGAAUUGGAAGCCACAGGUGCCCGGAGUUGAAAUGGAACUCGCUGAAUUGGUGCAGUUGAACCCUCCAUCCUCCUUCCCCAGCCAGUCCCUUCAGCUCCCAGGGGAAGCAGGUUUACUUGCUGGAGAGGAGGAAUCACAGAGGCUGUGGAAAUGGGAAGGAGACAGGUCAUGC
rnacentral:lncRNA from 1 species